rnacentral:rRNA from 1 species
UACGUAGGGGGCAAGCGUUGUCCGGAUUUAUUGGGCGUAAAGAGCGUGUAGGCGGUCUGGUAGGUCCGUUGUGAAAACUCGAGGCUCAACCUCGAGACGCCGAUGGAAACCCUCAGACUAGAGUCCGGAAGAGGAGAGUGGAAUUCCUGGUGUAGCGGUGAAAUGCGCAGAUAUCAGGAAGAACACCCGUGGCUGAGGCGGCUCUCUAGUACGUGACUGACGCUGAGACGCGAAAGCGUGGGGAGCGAACAGG